CCUUUCUUUCUUCCUAGCUCGAUCGAUACACCCUCAUUCUCUUGCGUCUCUGCUACCCCUUCCCAAACUUCCCAGCGCUGCUGAAGCCCAAGAUCAGCCUCCAUCUUCUCCGCUCGGUCUCCAUUGAAAAAGUGAAGGAACAACAAGAGAACGUUGGAGAGAAGGAUUUUCUUGAGUACUCUCUUGCUUUGCAUUGAGGCCUCCGCAGCUAGUAAUGAUGACUGUGCAGCAUACAGAGGCCAUCAUUGGAAUGGAUCCUAUUAUCUAUAAAGCGGCGGAACAAGGCAACCUGAGGGCCUUAGAAAAAAAUAUGAUAUCUCCCAUCUACUUGAUGAGUUUUUAACCGUUAAUAAAAAUACAAUCCUACAUAUUUGCAUUUCACUGAGGGUCAAAGAAAAGUUUCCCGCCACUGGAGGAACUGACCCUACCUCAGCGGUAAAAUUUGUGGAAGAUGUACUGUCCAAGUGUCCGUCACUUUUAUUGAAAGCCAACGCUGAAGACGAUACUCCGUUACAUGUUGCGGCAAGGUAUGGGCAUGCUUCGAUCGUUAAAGUUCUGAUUGAUUGUAAAAAAUCCCAACAUCAAGAUCUCGAAAGUGUCGUUGCUAUUAAGGAGAUGAUUACUAGGGAGAUGAUUGGAAUGCUGAACAAAAAGGGAGACACGACCAUACAUGAUGCUGUACGUCACAAUCACAUUGAAGUGGUAAAACAGUUACUAAGGGAGGUAGAUCGAGAAUUUUCGUUUGGUGCUAAUGGUGCUGGUGAGACCCCACUUUACUUGGCUGCCGAGAGACACUUUCCAGAUUUGGUAUCUGAAAUUUUGAACACAUUCCAAUCACCAGCUUAUGAUGGCCCCUUGGGUAGAACGGCUUUGCAUGCUGCAACAUUUUCAAAUGAUGCAGGAAUGACCGAAAACAUUUUGGAAAGAUAUGGUUGCGAUCUAUGUAAACAAUCAGACCAAAAAGGUUGGACUCCGUUUCACUUGGCUGCAUACUUGGAUUGCAUUUAGCCAACAAAACUAUUGCUGCAAUAUGGUAGAGAGGUAGCAUAUAUGAAAGACGCAGAGGGUAGGACAGCUCUUCACAUUACAGCUCAUCGCAACCAAGAAGGAGUAACAAAAGAGAUUGUAUCAAUGUGUCCGGAUUGUUGCGAAGUGGUUGACAAUGAAGGCCGCAAUGCACUCCAUCUCGCCAUGCACAGCCGCUGGCCAACUGCAGCGCUAAUCAUCCAAAAUAAUCCGUCUUUACGGAAUCUUUUGAAUCAGGAGGACAACGACGGGAAUGCACCUCUCCAUCACUAUUACAAUUCAGUUGGUUACACGAAGGGUGUCAUGAAUUCUCCAAGAGUUGACGAAAUGGUCUUCAACUCCAGAUUGCUUUUCAAAUCUUAAGAAGUAAACGCUUUCCAACCGAUGGUGAUGAGGUACAAUAUUCCGCUUUACAGAGGAAGCGGGACGAAUUUUGUAAAGGCCAAAACAAUCAUUGGUUCCUUUUUAAUGGAAGAGUAUUAGAAACUGGGUAUGAUGAAAUUGAGAAGGAGAAACAGCCAGAUGGGGAAGAGGAGAAAAAGAAUGAAGAGAUGGAUAAAGCGGCUCAAGCCCAUGUGGUAGUUGCUGCACUCAUUACAACCGUGACCUUUGCAGCAGGCAUUACCAUGCCAGGGGGCUUCAUUGGUGGAGAUGAUUACCAUCCAGGCUCUGCAGUUUUGGAAAAAAGUACUGCUUUUAAAGCAUUCAUCAUUACAAACGCCCUAGCAUUGAUGCUACUAGUUCUGCUGUCUUUAUCCACCUCUUUAUUCCGCUUAUCCUUUCUAAAUCCUUCUUCAGAUAUCGCUUAAGUUUUCUUCAAACGGCCUUUUGGUUCCUUAUUUCCUCCAUGGCACCAAUGGUUUUGGCAUUUGUCACAGGAACAUACGCUGUGUUGGAGCAUUCAAAUAUUGCAAUUCCCACUUGUAUUAUUUGCUUCCUUACCAUCCUUGUUUUUAUAUUUCUAAAACUACGGUUGUACCUAUGGAUGUAAGCGCAAUGCAAGGAUAUUGCUGAUUUGAUCAAUAAAAAUAUUAGGAGUACGGAACUUUUUUUUU